CACACAGACCAAUGCUGUCACAGUAGAGACGGACACGACAAACAUCAGAUUGUGCCAAAAUGGCUACUUUAUUGUUCUAACAAGCUUUUUUAUAUCUUUCUUCAGAGUAUGUGUUCAUAUAUGAUUGGUUUAGUUAGUAACUAACAAUUCAUGAUUGGGUAACAAUUUUAGCUGCAUAUUCGUUAAGACGGUUCUUCUUAUCAUCUUCUUUCCCAGGACUUUCCAGACUCUCAAGGAUACACCACAAGCUGCUCAAGGUCACGCUGCUCACGCACUGUCAGGCAGUCGGCAGAUUUGCUACAUUCCCCGACAA